rnacentral:rRNA from 1 species
GUACGCUAUUCAGAGUUUGAUCCUGGCUCAGGACGAACGCUGGCGGCGUGCCUAACACAUGCAAGUCGAGCGAGAAUCUUGAAUCAGAUCCCUUCGGGGUGAAGAUUCAAGAGGAAAGCGGCGGACGGGUGAGUAACGCGUGAGGAACCUGCCCUUAACUGUGGGAUAACACAUCGAAAGGUGUGCUAAUACCGCAUAAACCGACAGUACCGCAUGGUACAAUCGGCAAAGAUUUAUUGGUUAAGGAUGGACUCGCGUCUGAUUAGAUAGUUGGCGGGGUAACGGCCCACCAAGUCGACGAUCAGUAGCCGAACUGAGAGGUUGAUCGGCCACAUUGGGACUGAGACACGGCCCAG